UUGGCAGAGAAAGGUGAAUGUUCAUGACUUUGGUUGCCACUGAACUGUGCUGAUGGGAAAUCAGGCACCCAGAAGUCAAUUCCUAUGGAAUGGCAUCCUCCUUUCUGGUCGCUCUGGAGUGGCCACUGCCUGAGGGUCACAUUCUCACAAGUUUGCUGUUGCAGAAAUACCCCCAGUUGAGAUGUGUUUAACCAGCUAAGCCAGAGCAAUGCCUUUGUAUUAACUGCUGCAGAUGGAGAUGCGGAAGGAUGUCAGUGUUGCAAGGACCUUCCUCCAGUGCAUGGACUUGCCAGUUCCCAGUUGACUUUCAAGUACCUACAUAUCCAGGGGUAUCUUUCACCUCCAGUGUCUCUCUCAUCCUCUCAGAUUCCCUCUUGAGCAGACACUGCUUUCACAC